rnacentral:rRNA from 1 species
UUUAUGGAGAGUUUGAUCCUGGCUCAGGAUGAACGCUGGCGGCGUGCCUAAUACAUGCAAGUCGAGCGAACGGACGAGAAGCUUGCUUCUCUGAUGUUAGCGGCGGACGGGUGAGUAACACGUGGAUAACCUACCUAUAAGACUGGGAUAACUUCGGGAAACCGUAGCUAAUACCGGAUAAUAUUUUGAACCGCAUGGUUCAAAAGUGAAAGACGGUCUUGCUGUCACUUAUAGAUGGAUCCGCGCUGCAUUAGCUAGUUGGUAAGGUAACGGCUUACCAAGGCAACGAUGCAUAGCCGACCUGAGAGGGUGAUCGGCCACACUGGAACUGAGACACGGUCCAGACUCCUACGGGAGGCAGCAGUAGGGAAUCUUCCGCAAUGGGCGAAAGCCUGACGGAGCAACGCCGCGUGAGUGAUGAAGGUCUUCGGAUCGUAAAACUCUGUUAUUAGGGAAGAACAUAUGUGUAAGUAACUGUGCACAUCUUGACGGUACCUAAUCAGAAAGCCACGGCUAACUACGUGCCAGCAGCCGCGGUAAUACGUAGGUGGCAAGCGUUAUCCGGAAUUAUUGGGCGUAAAGCGCGCGUAGGCGGUUUUUUAAGUCUGAUGUGAAAGCCCACGGCUCAACCGUGGAGGGUCAUUGGAAACUGGAAAACUUGAGUGCAGAAGAGGAAAGUGGAAUUCCAUGUGUAGCGGUGAAAUGCGCAGAGAUAUGGAGGAACACCAGUGGCGAAGGCGACUUUCUGGUCUGUAACUGACGCUGAUGUGCGAAAGCGUGGGGAUCAAACAGGAUUAGAUACCCUGGUAGUCCACGCCGUAAACGAUGAGUGCUAAGUGUUAGGGGGUUUCCGCCCCUUAGUGCUGCAGCUAACGCAUUAAGCACUCCGCCUGGGGAGUACGACCGCAAGGUUGAAACUCAAAGGAAUUGACGGGGACCCGCACAAGCGGUGGAGCAUGUGGUUUAAUUCGAAGCAACGCGAAGAACCUUACCAAAUCUUGACAUCCUUUGACAACUCUAGAGAUAGAGCCUUCCCCUUCGGGGGACAAAGUGACAGGUGGUGCAUGGUUGUCGUCAGCUCGUGUCGUGAGAUGUUGGGUUAAGUCCCGCAACGAGCGCAACCCUUAAGCUUAGUUGCCAUCAUUAAGUUGGGCACUCUAAGUUGACUGCCGGUGACAAACCGGAGGAAGGUGGGGAUGACGUCAAAUCAUCAUGCCCCUUAUGAUUUGGGCUACACACGUGCUACAAUGGACAAU